UGGGGAAUAUUGCGCAAUGGGGGAAACCCUGACGCAGCGACGCCGCGUGCGGGAUGAAGGCCUUCGGGUUGUAAACCGCUUUUGAUUGGGAGCAAGCUUUCGGGUGAGUGUACCUUUCGAAUAAGCGCCGGCUAACUACGUGCCAGCAGCCGCGGUAAUACGUAGGGCGCAGGCGUUAUCCGGAAUUAUUGGGCGUAAAGAGCUUGUAGGCGGUUCGUCGCGUCUGGUGUGAAAGCCCAUCGCUUAACGGUGGGUUUGCGCCGGGUACGGGCGGGCUAGAGUGCAGUAGGGGAGACUGGAAUUCCCGGUGUAACGGUGGAAGGUGUAGAUAUCGGGAAGAAUACCAAUGGCGAAGGCAGGUCUCUGGGCUGUUACUGACGCUGAGAAGCGAAAGCGUGGGGAGCGAACAGG
rnacentral:rRNA from 1 species